rnacentral:rRNA from 1 species
AAGCGGUGGAGCAUGUGGUUUAAUUCGAUGCUACGCGAAGAACCUUACCAGGUCUUGACAUCUUCUGCCAAUCUAAGAGAUUAGGCGUUCCCUUCGGGGACAGAAUGACAGGUGGUGCAUGGUUGUCGUCAGCUCGUGUCGUGAGAUGUUGGGUUAAGUCCCGCAACGAGCGCAACCCUUAUUAUUAGUUGCCAGCAUUCAGUUGGGCACUCUAGCAAGACUGCCGGUGACAAACCGGAGGAAGGUGGGGAUGACGUCAAAUCAUCAUGCCCCUUAUGACCUGGGCUACACACGUGCUACAAUGGACGGUACAACGAGUCGCGAAACCGCGAGGCCAAGCUAAUCUCUUAAAGCCGUUCUCAGUUCGGAUUGUAGGCUGCAACUCGCCUACAUGAAGUUGGAAUCGCUAGUAAUCGUGGAUCAGCAUGCCGCGGUGAAUACGUUCCCGGGCCUUGUACACACCGCCCGUCACACCAUGAGAGUUUGUAACACCCAAAGCCGGUGAGGUAACCUUCGGGGGCCAGCCGUCUAAGGUGGGACAGAUGAUUAGGGUGAAGUCGUAACAAGGUAACC